AGCAAGAAAUAAGAAAGGGUUAUCUUUUUGAAGGGAGUGUUCGGACUUUAGGGCCUCUUCAUAUUUUUUCCUGGAAUUGAAACACUAGAAAAGGAUCAACUGAAAAGCAAGGUAAAAUGUCGGUGUGCUUUGCCCAACGAUGACCUCGAUAUCCAAGCAAGAUCACGAAGAAGCCAGCCCAAAUGAAACAAAAAUAGCAAGAGGGUUGUAGGCUUUGGAGAAUAGGAGAACGGGCCUAGCACAAACGCGCCAAAGAUUACAUGGACCGUGCGAAUACUCU